GGAAGGGUGGCCCGAGCGGUUUAAGGCGUAGCACCGGAAAUGCUAAGUAGAUUUUUAGCUACCGAGGGUUCGAAUCCCUCCCUUUCCU
rnacentral:tRNA from 1 species